AUUGAACGCUGGCGGCAGGCCUAACACAUGCAAGUCGAACGAGUGGCGGACGGGUGAGUAAUGUCUGGGAAACUGCCUGAUGGAGGGGGAUAACUACUGGAAACGGUAGCUAAUACCGCAUACCAUCGGAUGUGCCCAGAUGGGAUUAGCUAGUAGGUGGGGUAAAGGCUCACCUAGGCGACGAUCCCUAGCUGGUCUGAGAGGAGGACCAGCAAAACGGGAAAGGAGACACGGUCCAGACUCCUACGGUAGGCAGCAGUGGGGAAGAUUGCACAAUGGGCGAAAGCCUGAUGCAGCCAUGCUGCGUGUAUGAAGAAGGCCUUCGGGUUGUAAAGUACUUUCAUCGGGGAGGCGGUACCCGCAGAAGAAGCACCGGCUAACUCCGUGCCAGCAGCCGCGGUAAUAC
rnacentral:rRNA from 1 species